rnacentral:rRNA from 1 species
GAUGAACGCUGGCGGCGUGCCUAAUACAUGCAAGUAGAACGCUGAAGGAGGAGCUUGCUCUUCUGGAUGAGUUGCGAACGGGUGAGUAACGCGUAGGUAACCUGCCUGGUAGCGGGGGAUAACUAUUGGAAACGAUAGCUAAUACCGCAUGACAACAGUUAUUGCAUGAUAACUGUUUAAAAGGGGCAACUGCUCCACUACCAGAUGGACCUGCGUUGUAUUAGCUAGUUGGUGAGGUAACGGCCCACCAAGGCGACGAUACAUAGCCGACCUGAGAGGGUGAUCGGCCACACUGGGACUGAGACACGGCCCAGACUCCUACGGGAGGCAGCAGUAGGGAAUCUUCGGCAAUGGACGGAAGUCUGACCGAGCAACGCCGCGUGAGUGAAGAAGGUUUUCGGAUCGUAAAGCUCUGUUGUAAGAGAAGAACGAGUGUGAGAGUGGAAAGUUCACACUGUGACGGUAUCUUACCAGAAAGGGACGGCUAACUACGUG